GACGAACGCGGCGGCGUGCCUAAUACAUGCAAGUCGAACGAGAGCGACCGGUGCUUGCACUGGUCAAUCUAGUGGCGAACGGGUGAGUAACACGUGGGUAACCUGCCCACCAGAGGGGGAUAACAUUCGGAAACGGAUGCUAAAACCGCAUAGGUUCUAGAGUCGCAUGACUCAAGAAGGAAAAGAGGCUUCGGCUUCUGCUGAUGGAUGACCCGCGGUGCAUUAGCUAGUUGGUGAGGUAACGGCUCACCAAGGCCGUGAUGCAUAGCCGACCUGAGAGGGUGAUCGGCCACAUUGGGACUGAGACACGGCCCAAACUCCUACGGGAGGCAGCAGUAGGGAAUCUUCCGCAAUGGACGCAAGUCUGACGGAGCAACGCCGCGUGAGUGAAGAAGGAUUUCGGUUCGUAAAACUCUGUUGUUAGAGAAGAACAGCGCAUAGAGUAAACUGUUAUGCGU
rnacentral:rRNA from 1 species